rnacentral:rRNA from 1 species
UACGUAGGUGGCAAGCGUUGUCCGGAAUUAUUGGGCGUAAAGCGCGCGCAGGCGGCCUCUUAAGUCUGAUGUGAAAGCCCCCGGCUCAACCGGGGAGGGCCAUUGGAAACUGGGCGGCUUGAGUAUAGGAGAGAAGAGUGGAAUUCCACGUGUAGCGGUGAAAUGCGUAGAGAUGUGGAGGAACACCAGUGGCGAAGGCGACUCUUUGGCCUAUAACUGACGCUGAGGCGCGAAAGCGUGGGGAGCAAACAGG